AUUGAACGCUGGCGGCAGGCCUAACACAUGCAAGUCGAGCGGCAGCGGGAAAGUAGCUUGCUACUUUUGCCGGCGAGCGGCGGACGGGUGAGUAAUGCCUGGGAAAUUGCCCAGUCGAGGGGGAUAACAGUUGGAAACGACUGCUAAUACCGCAUACGCCCUACGGGGGAAAGCAGGGGACCUUCGGGCCUUGCGCGAGUGGAUAUGCCCAGGGGGGAUUAGCUAGUUGGUGAGGUAAUGGCUCACCAAGGCGACGAUCCCUAGCUGGUCUGAGAGGAUGAUCAGCCACACUGGAACGGAGACACGGUCCAGACUCCUACGGGAGGCAGCAGUGGGGAAUAUUGCACAAUGGGGGAAACCCUGAUGCAGCCAUGCCGCGUGUGUGAAGAAGGCCUUCGGGUUGUAAAGCACUUUCAGCGAGGAGGAAAGGUCAGUAGCUAAUAUCUGCUGACUGUGACGUUACUCGCAGAAGAAGCACCGGCUAACUCCGUGCCAGCCGCCGCAGUAAAAC
rnacentral:rRNA from 1 species